AGCCUGUGGGAUGUGACGGAGUGGCGAGGUGGUACCAGCUUAUCGGAUUGCUGGUGCAGUCGGACCGCUUCCAGGAAAUAGCACCCACAAUAAGACCGUACCCCAAACCGACACAGGUGGACUGGUAGAGUAUACCAAGGCGCUUGAGAAAAUGGUGUUGAAGGAACUCGGCAAAUUGCUCCCGUAACUUCGGAAGAAGGGAGACCCGCCUCGGGCAACCGGGGUUGGGUGGCACAGACCAGGGGGUGGCGACUGUUUACCAAUAACACAGGGCUCUGCGAAGUCGCAAGACGACGUAUAGGGUCUGACGCCUGCCCGGUGCCGGAAGGUUAAGAGGAGAUGUGCAAGCAUUGAAUCGAAGCCCCGGUAAACGGCGGCCGUAACAAUAACGGUCUAAGGUAGCAAAAUUCCUUGUCGGGUAAGUUCCGACCUGCACGAGGGCGUAACGACUUCCCCGCUGUCUCCAACACCAACUCAGCGAAAUUGAACUCUCCGUGAAGAUGCGGAGUUCCCGCGGUCAGACGGAAAGACCCCGUGCACCUUUACUACAACUUUGCAGUGGUAUCAGGACCUAUCUGUGUAGGAUAGGCGGAGCCUAUGAAGCUUGGGCGCUAGCUUGAGUGGAGGCAACCUUGAAAUACCGCCCUGAUCGGUUCUGAUAUCUAACCGCGCCCCGUUAUCCGGGGCCGGGACCCUGCAUGGUGGGUAGUUUGACUGGGGCGGUCGCCUCCCAAAGAGUAACGGAGGCGCGCGAUGGUGGGCUCAAGCUGGUCGGACAUCAGCUGUCGAGUGCAAUGGCACAAGCCCGCCUGACUGCAAGACUGACAAGUCGAGCAGAGACGAAAGUCGGCCAUAGUGAUCCGGUGGUUCCACGUGGACGGGCCAUCGCUCAACGGACAAAAGGUACGCCGGGGAUAACAGGCUGAUCUCCCCCAAAAGUCCAUAUCGACGGGGAGGUUUGGCACCUCGAUGUCGGCUCAUCACAUCCUGGGGCUGGAGCAGGUCCCAAGGGUUCGGCUGUUCGCCGAUUAAAGAGGUACGUGAGCUGGGUUCAGAACGUCGUGAGACAGUUCGGUCCCUAUCUGCCGUGGGUGUCGGAGACUUGAGAGGAUUUGUCCCUAGUACGAGAGGACCGGGAUGAACGCACCUCUGGUGUACCAGUUGUCGUGCCAACGGCAUCGCUGGGUAGCUAAGUGCGGACGGGAUAACCGCUGAAUGCAUCUAAGCGGGAAACCCACCUCAAAACCAGGUCUCCCUGAAGAGCCGUGGUAGACCACCACGUCGAUAGGCCAGGUGUGGAAGUGCAGCAAUGCACGAAGCUAACUGGUACUAAUCGCUCCAAA
rnacentral:rRNA from 1 species